AGUCUCUAGGGGAUGGUAUUAAAGGCACCAGAUCCCAUCUGUUCUUGGAUGUUAAACAGAAACAUUCCAGGUUAGUACUUGGAAGAGAAACCACCAAUGAAUGUCAGGGGUUGAAGGUUA
rnacentral:rRNA from 11 species